CUCUCCAAACGAACAUCAGAAGAACAAAACAAAACACUUUCCAUAACAAGGAAAGAAAGAAUAUUAAACAUAUUUGCCAGUUCGGUUAAAUUCGGUGCUUUUUCUUCUCUGUUUUUUCUC
rnacentral:ribozyme from 13 species